CAUUGACUAAAUAUCUAGAGAAUUUCGGUAUAGAUCAUCGCUUUUCUUGUCCAUACGAUCAUCCUCAUAUGGGCUCCGUCGAAAGACCUCAUAGGCAUCUUGUGGAUACCGCUCUAACUAUGCUUCAUUUCGUCAAAAUGCCCACACGGUUAUGAGAUUAUGCCAUCCUAACAGUGGUCAAAUUGUACAAUCAAAAUCCAACAAGGAUUCUUUAAGGAAUCUCACCAAUGAAGGCUUUGUUCAACCGGAAUCUAGACUAUGAUAAGCUGAGAAUUUUUGGCAGCAAAUGCUAUCCUUGUUUAAGACACCAUCGACGGAAUAAAUUGGAGGAAAAAUCAAAGGCUUGCGCUUUCAUCGGAUACCCACAACAGCAUGACGGAUAUAUGUGCUAUGACAUUAAAGAAAAGAAAAUUUACAUAUGAAAGAACGUGAGAUUUAUCGAAAAUGAUUUUUCAUUGAAUAGUAGGUUGUUUGAAGAAAAUACAAGUCGUGACAUCGGUGAAGAUAACGACGCGAUCACUUCAAACGAUCUUGAAAUUCUUGACAUUACUCCGACAACAGAGGCUUUGCCCAAUCAUCCAAGAAAUCUGCCAUGCUCCGAGGUUUCACCAGAGCCGCAACCGAAUCACACGAUAUCGUCGAUUAGAGAACUCCAAAACCCAGAUGUGAUACUCAACAGUGGGGAAGAAACAAAUCGGAAUUUUCUCGACAAUCAUGAAUACGGGCCGACGUCAAACGACUCUGUCACGACCUCCGGUGAUAACGUUACAACGGCACCUAUCACAGAAAUGCAGACAUAGCACGAGAAGGUUGUAACACGAGCGUCACCUGGAAUUAUCAAGCCCAAUCCAAAGUACGGACUCGCGUCUAUAUCGGAUCACAUUGUCAUCCUGAGAUCGGCAAAAGUGGCAUUGACAGAAUCUGGAUAGAAAGCGGCUAUGAAGUACGAAUUUCAUGCCUUGGUAAGAAAUAAAACGUGGAGACUAGUUCCACGCACCGACAGAGAUAGAGUAAUCAACACCAAAUGGGUAUUUAAAAUCAAAUACGCUGAAGAUGAGACAAUUCAAAGAUUGAAAGCAAGGUGGGCAGCAACGGCAUGCGACAAAUAGAAGGGUGCGAUUAUCAUCAGACUUAUAGCCCGGUGGUGAAAUCAAAUUCGGUCAGAAUAGUGCUCACGAUUGCGAUUUCCAAAAAUUGGGUGUUGAAGCAGAUAGACGUAUCUAAUGCAUUCCUACACGAGAAUAUUGAAGAACGGAUCCUCGUGACACAACCGGUGGGAUUCGAAGAUACAAAAUAUCCACAACACGUUUGCUUACUUGAGAAGGCUCUAUAUGGUCUAAAACAAUCUCUG
rnacentral:lncRNA from 1 species